rnacentral:rRNA from 1 species
GAGGAAGGUGGGGAUGACGUCAAAUCAUCAUGCCCUUUAUGUCCCGGGCUACACACGUACUACAAUGGCCGCUACAGAGGGAAGCGAAGUGGUGACGCUAAGCAAAACCCAAAAAACGGUCUCAGUUCGGAUUGAAGGCUGAAAUUCGCCUUCAUGAAGCCGGAAUUGCUAGUAAUGGCAGGUCAGCAUACUGCCGUGAAUACGUUCCCGGGCCUUGUACACACCGCCCGUCACACCAUGAGAGUUGGGGAUACCCGAAGCCUGUGAGCUAACUUUUAGAGGCAGCAGUCGAAGGUAGAAUCAAUGAUUGGGGUGAAGUCGUAAC